rnacentral:rRNA from 1 species
AGAGUUUGAUCCUGGCUCAGGCAGAUAGCCGGCGGCGUGCUUAACACAUCGCAGUCGAACGAUGACCUCCAGCUAGCAGGAAGUGAUCAGUGGCGAACGGGUGAGUAACACGUGAGUAACCUGCCCUUGACUCUGGGAUAAGCACUGGUAACGGUGUCUAAUACCGGAUACGAACCUCAGCCGCAUGUCUAGAGGGUUGGAAAGAAUUUUGGUCAAGGAUGGACUCGCGGCCUAUCAGCUAGUAGAUGAGGUAACGGCCCACCAAGGCGACGACGGGUAGCCGGCCUGAGAGGGUGACCGGCCACACUGAGACUGAGACACGGCCCAGACUCCUACGGGAGGCAGCAGUGGGGAAUAUUGCACAAUGGGCGAAAGCCUGAUGCAGCAACGCCGCGUGAGGGACGACGGCCUUCGGGUUGUAAACCUCUUUUAGUAGGGAAGAAGCGAAAGUGACGGUACCUGCAGAAAAAGCACCGGCUAACUACGUGCCAGCAGCCGCGGUAAU